rnacentral:lncRNA from 1 species
GUCCAAGGAAAGCUGCAGAAGUGGAUGCACUGCUUGUUAUUUCAGAGGCAGGAAAUCCCUCUGUUCCCGAUGGCCAAAGGACAGGGCAGCAGAAGGAGGCAAAAUGGAGCAGCAUCCACCUCUGACUUGGAGCACCCACCCCUGACUUGGAGCACCCAUGAUCAGGACCUCUGGAUGAACGAACUUGAGCAACCUUAAGCUCCUGGUGCAAUGAGGUUUUUUGGGAGGGAAGGCAGAGUGUGACCUUCUCAGAGGCCCCUUGACCAAAUCCAUAAG